CCUACGGGAGGCAGCAGUGAGGAAUCUUCGUCAAUGGACGAGAGUCUGAACCAGCCAAGUAGCGUGAAGGAUGACUGCCCUAUGGGUUGUAAACUUCUUUUAUAAAGGAAUAAAACGAGGCACGUGUGCCUUUUUUCAUGUACUUUAUGAAUUAGGAUCGGCUAACUCCGUGCCAGCCGCCGCGGUAAUACGGAGGAUCCGAGCGUUAUCCGGAUUUAUUGGGUUUAAAGGGAGCGUAGAUGGGUUGUUAAGUCAGUUGUGAAAGUUUGCGGCUCAACCGUAAAAUUGCAAUUGAUACUGGCGGUCUUGAGUACAGUUGAGGUGGGCGGAAUUCGUGGUGUAGCGGUGAAAUGCUUAGAUAUCACGAAGAACCCCAAUUGCGAAGGCAGCUUACUAAACUGUGACUGACAUUGAUGCUCGAAAGUGUGGGUAUCAAACAGGAUUAGAUACCCCGGUAGUC
rnacentral:rRNA from 1 species